CUUGACGACCAUAGAGCGUUGGAACCACCUGAUCCCAUCCCGAACUCAGAAGUGAAACGAUGCAUCGCCGAUGGUAGUGUGGGGUUUCCC
rnacentral:rRNA from 1 species